AGGCUUAAAGAGGCAGAAUGGGAGAGUUCAUUAAAGUGUUAUUCAUUAGUAGGAAAUUCCAAGUGAUAGGAGAGGCCAAAGGCACAAUCUUCAGCGUCUCUGCUGUCGCACAUCAUAACUGUCACUCCCAGUGGUCACAAUGCCUGUCUCGAUGUUCGUCUGGUUAGAAUCCCAAAGGUCCUCAGAUCCUGACUCUUUCAAAAUGGUGUGAAACCGUGUCUGUUACCAUAAUACUUAAACACGAAAAAUUUCAUUUCCUUCA
rnacentral:lncRNA from 1 species